rnacentral:rRNA from 1 species
ACACUCCUGCGGGAGGCAGCAGUGGGGAAUAUUGGACAAUGGGCGCAAGCCUGAUCCAGCCAUGCCGCGUGAGUGAUGAAGGCCCUAGGGUUGUAAAGCUCUUUCACCGGUGAAGAUAAUGACGGUAACCGGAGAAGAAGCCCCGGCUAACUUCGUGCCAGCAGCCGCGGUAAUACGAAGGGGGCUAGCGUUGUUCGGAUUUACUGGGCGUAAAGCGCACGUAGGCGGACUAUUAAGUCAGGGGUGAAAUCCCGGGGCUCAACCCCGGAACUGCCUUUGAUACUGGUAGUCUUGAGUACGAGAGAGGUGAGUGGAAUUCCGAGUGUAGAGGUGAAAUUCGUAGAUAUUCGGAGGAACACCAGUGGCGAAGGCGGCUCACUGGCUCGAUACUGACGCUGAGGUGCGAAAGCGUGGGGAGCAAACAGGAUUAGAAACCCUUGUAGUCCC